rnacentral:lncRNA from 10 species
CCGGAGGCGGGACUGGGAGGAAAGGCCUCGGGGCAGGGCGGGAAGGGCGUGUGGAAGGAACCCGCGGAGCGAUCCGGGGCUCGGGGGGCCCGGCCAAGCCGUGGCUACGCUCAGAAAUCCGGGCUCCCCUCCCCAUCCCCGCGGCGGAGGCGGUUCCGCAUCCCCCGCAGGCGCCUGGCGGACUUGAGGCCUCUCCUCUCGCCCCCCACCCCCCACCCCGAGCCCUCCGCCCGAAGCCCUGCUGGGCUCAUCAAAGGCCCAGGUGUCCCAAGGACUACGGGAGCGGCCCGGGGGCGGCGAGGAGGCGACCACAGGCCCUUGCCUGGGACAGGAUAGCCGGAGACGCAGGACUGUCUUGCGGGCGGGCGGCCUUGGAGGGACUCACUAGGCUCGGCUUUCCUCUAGGAGCCUGGGGCUGGGCGGACCCGGACUGCGGCCUCGUGGGGACCCCUGGGCCACCAAAGUCCCCCGCGUGGUGGGGCCUGCCCUGAACCCUGGCGACAGGGCCUGGACCGGGCCCUGAGGGGGACCCUCGGCCGCCGGACCCCGAGCCCCAGGAGCGCCCGGGCAGCCGAGCGUAAUUGGAUUGUAUCCGGCCGCGCGCUGUCACCGUAUUGACUUUCGCGCUCGAGAUGAUAUUAUCGAGGUUCGGAAGCUCGCGGCUCAUGUGCCUGUCAAAAGGCUGCGGCGGGAGCCCCCGGCCUGGCGAGCGAGCAUCAGCCAAGAGGAUGGGGAGGCUGAGCCCUGGACAAGGACACCUGAGGGCCCGCAGUCAAGCC